rnacentral:SRP_RNA from 1 species
GCUGCCUCCGACUGUGGUGAGGCCGUGUGAACCGGGUCAGGUCCGAAAGGAAGCAGCCCUAAGCAGCAGGUUUUCAGGUGCAGAAGGGGGCAGCUUUC